rnacentral:rRNA from 1 species
UACGUAGGGAGCGAGCGUUAUCCGGAUUUAUUGGGUGUAAAGGGUGCGUAGACGGGAAAUUAAGUUAGUUGUGAAAUCCCCAGGCUCAACUUGGGAACUGCAACUAAAACUGGUUUUCUUGAGUGUCGGAGAGGAAAGUGGAAUUCCUAGUGUAGCGGUGAAAUGCGUAGAUAUUAGGAGGAACACCAGUGGCGAAGGCGACUUUCUGGACGAUAACUGACGUUGAGGCACGAAAGUGUGGGGAGCAAAC